rnacentral:rRNA from 1 species
CGGACGGGUGAGUAACGCGUGAGAAUCUGGCUUCAGGUCUGGGACAACCACUGGAAACGGUGGCUAAUACCGGAUGUGCCGAGAGGUGAAAGGUUAACUGCCUGAAGAUGAGCUCGCGUCUGAUUAGCUAGUUGGUAGAGUAAGAGCCUACCAAGGCGACGAUCAGUAGCUGGUCUGAGAGGACGAUCAGCCACACUGGGACUGAGACACGGCCCAGACUCCUACGGGAGGCAGCAGUGGGGAAUUUUCCGCAAUGGGCGAAAGCCUGACGGAGCAAUACCGCGUGAGGGAGGAAGGCUCUUGGGUCGUAAACCUCUUUUCUCAGGGAAGAACACAAUGACGGUACCUGAGGAAUAAGCAUCGGCUAACUCCGUGCCAGCAGCCGCGGUAAUACGGAGGAUGCAAGCGUUAUCCGGAAUGAUUGGGCGUAAAGCGUCCGCAGGUGGCAAUGUAAGUCUGCUGUUAAAGAGUCUAGCUCAACUAGAUAAGAGCAGUGGAAACUACAUAGCUAGAGUACGUUCGGGGCAGAGGGAAUUCCUGGUGUAGCGGUGAAAUGCGUGGAGAUCAGGAAGAACACCAGUGGCGAAGGCGCUCUGCUAGGCCGUAACUGACACUGAGGGACGAAAGCUAGGGGAGCGAAUGGGAUUAGAUACCCCAGUAGUC